rfam:Mycobacterium arupense strain GTC1 Marup_contig000025, whole genome shotgun sequence.
CAGGUUCCGGUUCACGUUCGCCUCCACUUCGAAGGCGGGCGACCCGGCGGCC